rnacentral:lncRNA from 1 species
GCCCAACGUUGGAGAAGAACCCAUGGCUGAAGAGGAACCCAAUGUUGGACCCAACGUUGAACCCAACGGCGGCGUUGAACCCAACGUUGAUGAAGAACCCAAUGUUGGACCCAACUUUGACGAAGAACCCAACGAAGAACCCAACGAUGAUGAAGAACCCAACGUUGGACCCAACGACGACGAAGAAACCAAAACUGGACCCAACGAAGACGACGAACCCAACGUUGGAUCCAAUGAAGACGAAGAACCCAAAAUUGGCCCCAAUGAAGAUGAAGAACCCAAAGUUGGAUCCAACGAAGACGAAGAACCCAAGAUUGGACUCAAUGAUUGUGAAGAACCCAAUGAGGACCCCAAGUUUGGACCCAACGACGACGAAGCACCCAAAAUUGGACCCAACGAAGACGAAGAACCCAACGUUGACCCCAACGAAGACGAAGAACCCAAAAUUGGACCCAACGACGAUGAUGACGAACCCAACGUUGACCCCAACGAAGAUGAAGAACCCAAAAUUGGACCCAACGACGCUGACGAACCCAACGUUGACCCCAACGAAGACGAAGAACCCAAAAUUGGACCCAACGAUGAUGAUGACGAACCCAACGUUGACCCCAACGAAGAUGACGAACCCAAAACUGGCCCCGAUAAAGAUGAAGAACCCAAAAUCGGCCCCAACGAUGACAAC